rfam:Alternaria alternata strain SRC1lrK2f unplaced genomic scaffold CC77scaffold_19, whole genome shotgun sequence.
GCCUCCUUGGCUAAGUGGUAAAGCGUCGCACUUGUAUCAACUGGAUAUGCGAAGAUCGCUCGUUCGAUUCGGGCAGGUGGCA